UUUUAGUUUUACUUAUUAUGCUCCUGAUAAGAAGAAUUUAUGUCUUCAAACGUAAGACUAAAACAAGUUUGAUUGAUGCGAAUCUCGUAGCAACGUUGAUUACGAAAUCCACAACGAGAUUGACGAACUCAAGAAAGCCAAAUUAAUCCAAGAGUUUAGGAUUAAUCCAAAAGAAAGUCGAACCAAAAAAUCCAACAAGAACGACGCUUGAAAGACCCCUUGAUCACGCAAUCCAAGAAUUAAAUCCAGUUGUUUAACGCAACAAGUUAACACUUGAUAAGUUCGAAGUUGUUCAAUAAAGAAUAAUGAAGAGAAGACAAUACGCCUCACUUUAAUUUGAUAUCAAUAAUGUUAAAAGGUUUUUAACAAUUGAAUGGAAACUUCUAUUUAUACUAAACCUAAAAACUAGGUAAAAAUCGUGCAAAAGUCGAUCAUAAUCCCCGAAGUAUGGAAAAGAAUAAAAAAUCUAACAAAAUAUGGAAAAAUACCAAAAAUAGAAAAUUCGCCAAAAUUUUGGCUUGUGCGACCGCAUGGUGUAUUUCCAUGCGGUCGCAUAGUUCAACAAAAAAUCCCAAUUUAAGUUUCGGUAUGCCACUCAACAAAAAUCCCAAUUUAAGUUUCAGUAUGCCACCAUGUGGCCGCAUGGUGUUUUUGCUGUGCGGUCGCACAGGCUUAUUUUCAGCCUCCGAUUUCGUCGCUUGAUAACAAAUUGAUCCAAGUUGAUUCGACUUUCAACCCGAACAUGAAAGUUGCUCCAUUUUGAGUCCCGAACAUGGUUCCAUCAAUGGUUUCUUGAACGAGCAAUCCCAUCGCUUGUUUCACUUGCUUUGCCCUUGAUCGCGUUAUUGGUCCGCCAUCGACUAUCAACGGGUCUCGUCUCACACUUGCCUUCGUCGGGCUUGACUCCUGGAUCAUAUCAUUGAUUCUAUUUAUUUAUUUCCUUUUUAUGUUUUCUUUGGUAACUUGGGAAGACGUGCUUUUGAUUUUGGACAGUUGGAGAAGACUGUUGUGCCGCAAACAGUUACAAAACAAUAUGUUGCGUAUUCUCAACUUUUUUUAUUAUUUAUUUUUCUUGACGUUUGGGGGUGAGGUGCUUUACUAUAUGUGAUACAGAAAUCAUAUACACGCAAAAUAUUAGAAUGGCAUGGGGGCAAAAAUAAGGAAAACUUACAUGCUUUGCAUAUUUUUACUUACUCCAUAAUUGCUGUGAAAAUAAGAAGUGAAAAGGUGAUUUGGGUUCCCUUUUU
rnacentral:lncRNA from 1 species